CCUACGGGAGGCAGCAGUGGGGAAUAUUGGACAAUGGGCGAAAGCCUGAUCCAGCCAUGCCGCGUGUGUGAAGAAGGCCUUCGGGUUGUAAAGCACUUUCAGUGGGGAAGAAAGCCUUGGGGCUAUUACCCUCGAGGAAGGACAUCACCCACAGAAGAAGCACCGGCUAACUCCGUGCCAGCAGCCGCGGUAAUACGGAGGGUGCGAGCGUUAAUCGGAAUUACUGGGCGUAAAGCGCGCGUAGGCGGUCUGAUAAGCCGGUUGUGAAAGCCCCGGGCUCAACCUGGGAACGGCAUCCGGAACUGUCAGGCUAGAGUGCAGGAGAGGAAGGUAGAAUUCCCGGGGUAGCGGUGAAAUGCGUAGAGAUCGGGAGGAAUACCAGUGGCGAAGGCGGCCUUCUGGACUGACACUGACGCUGAGGUGCGAAAGCGUGGGUAGCAAACAGGAUUAGAUACCCUGGUAGUC
rnacentral:rRNA from 1 species